UGCUCUUAGUAACAUUGAUUAAGAGUAACUCCUGCCCAGUGAGUAAUUCAACGGCCGCGGUAUCCUAACCGUGCAAAGGUAGCAUAAUCACUUGCCCAUUAAUUGUGGGCUAGAAUGAAAGGAUAAACGAAAUAAAUACUGUCUCUAUAAGCCGCUUAAAAAUUACCCUCUAACCGAAGAGUGUUAGAUAGCGUCGAAGGACAAGAAGACCCUAUAGAGCUUAAUUUAAAUAAAUGUAAAAAAUUUACUAAAAUUCGGUUGGGGCGACCAGGGAAUUACUUAUCAUCCCUAAACAAAAGAUAAAUAUAUCAAAAUACUGACCCUUCUACAAGAUCACUAAAACAAGCUACCUUAGGGAUAACAGGCUAAUCUCACUAGAGAGUCCUUAUCAAUAGUGGGGAUUGGCACCUCGAUGUUGGCUUAGGGAAUCUCUAUGACGCAAAAGUCAUAUAAAGAUGGUUUGUUCAA
rnacentral:rRNA from 1 species